rnacentral:rRNA from 1 species
UACGUAGGGUGCAAGCGUUGUCCGGAAUUAUUGGGCGUAAAGAGCUCGUAGGUGGCUUGUCACGUCGGGUGUGAAAGCUUGGGGCUUAACUCCAGGUCUGCAUUCGAUACGGGCUGGCUAGAGGUAGGUAGGGGAGAACGGAAUUCCUGGUGUAGCGGUGGAAUGCGCAGAUAUCAGGAGGAACACCGGUGGCGAAGGCGGGUCUCUGGGCAGUAACUGACGCUGAGGAGCGAAAGCGUGGGGAGCGAACAGG